rnacentral:rRNA from 1 species
UGAAUACGAGACGCUAAGGCGUCGAAGUAGUGUAUGUCAUACUUCCAAGAAAAGCUUGCACUGUCAUAAGUAAAAAAUGCCUGUACCAUAACCGACACAGGUGGGUAGGUAGAGUAUACUAAGGGGCGCGAGAUAACUCUCUCUAAGGAACUCGGCAAAAUAACUCCGUAACUUCGGGAGAAGGAGUACCUUAUUCUAUAAGGUUGCAAUAACAAGAUCCAAGCAACUGUUUAUCAAAAACACAGGUCUCCGCUAAGUCGUAAGACGAUGUAUGGGGGCUGACGCCUGCCCAGUGCCAGAAGGUUAAAGAAGUCGGUUAGCAUUAGCGAAGCUGGUAACUGAAGCCCUGGUGAACGGCGGCCGUAACAAUAACGGUCCUAAGGUAGCGAAAUUCCUUGUCGGGUAAGUUCCGACCCGCACGAAAGGCGUAAUGAUUUGGAUACUGUCUCGGAGAGGGGCUCGGUGAAAUAGACUUGUCUGUGAAGAUGCGGACUACCUGCACCAGGACAGAAAGACCCUAUGAAGCUUUACUGUAACUUGAAAUUGAAAUUGGACUUUAUUCGCGCAGUAUAGGUGGGAGGUGUUGAUUAUAAUCUUGCGGGAUUAUUGGAGCCAUCAGUGAGAUACCACUCUUGUAAUGUUAGAUUUCUAACUUUGAAUCAUUAUCUGGUCAAAGGACAGUUUCAGGCGGGCAGUUUGACUGGGGCGGUCGCCUCCCAAACGGUAACGGAGGCGUACAAAGGUUUCCUCUGAACGGGUAGAAAUCGUAUCUAGAGUGUAAAGGCAUAAGGAAGCUUGACUGUGAGACCUACAAGUCGAACAGGGACGAAAGUCGGUCUUAGUGAUCUGACGGUACUGAGUGGAAAGGCCGUCACUCAACGGAUAAAAGUUACUCUAGGAUAACAGGCUGAUCUCCCCCAAGAGUUCACAUCGACGGGGAGGUUUGGCACCUGGAUGUCGGCUCAUCGCAUCCUGGGGCGGCAGUACGUCCCAAGGGUUGGGCUGUUCGCCCAUGAAAGCGGUACGCGAGCUGGGUUCAGAACGUCGUGAGACAGUUCGGUCCAUAUCCGGUGUAGGCGUUAGAAUAUUGAGAGGAGCCUUCUUUAGUACGAGAGGACCGAGAAGGACAUACCUCUGGUGUACCAGUUAUCGUGCCAACGGUAAACGCUGGGUAGCUAUGUAUGGAGUGGAUAACCGCUGAAAGCAUCUAAGUGGGAAGCCCACCUCAAGAUAAGUAUUCC